UCCUCAUGGUACGAACCAGGCAGCCACCACAUGAUCCCCUCCACUUCACCGAUGUCUGCCACCUCGCCCUUCUCUUCACCUUAAGACGCCGCCCAGGAGGCCGUCCCCGAACCCUAGCUCCUUUUCCUCCCUCUCGCUGCGCCUCCAUUUGUUUCGUUCACUACCUUUCCUGUAAGCAACUGAGAGGUCAAGCUCUGCCGCGGCCGCGCCUUCUUCCCGGAGUCCGGCGACCGUGGUCUCGUCUUCGUCCGUCCCCGAGCCGCCUCGUUUCAUCCGGCAGCCUCCCGGCCUGAUCAUUCAUGGCUACAAGAGAUGGCACGGACUAUUUGGAUGUGCAUCAUUUUGUGGUCACUCACAUUUCUUCGUGUCUUCAUAAUCGUUCAGACAUGGGAGUCCUCAAGGUUCCAAGCCUGCUACGUUUGCUAUUUCUCAUGCUCCUCCUCUUGGCUCCUGGCUCUCAUGCUAAGACUUGCAAGGAGGCCAGCAAGACCUAUACCACUGUUUCUUGCCGUGAUGAUCCAUGUGCUGAGGCCUGCCACAAGGAGGGAUUUACUGACGGGAGGUGUUACCUAAUCGACAACUAUCCUAUUGAGAAGCUAUGUUACUGCGAUAAAGAGUGCUGAAUAAAAACAUGUUGAAACUACCGCAUAUCAUGCGAUGCAAAAGUAAUAAGAUGGUUUAUUGAAAACUAGUAAGCGUGCACGUGUGUUGCCCGUCCCAUACUCUAUACUAAAAACAUCUAUUUUGAAUCUUAUUUUUUUGA